GGAGUUAGCCGGUGCUUCUUCUGUGAGUGAUGUCCUUCCUGCCGGCUAUUAACCCGCAGGCCUUCUUCCUCACUGAAAGUGCUUUACAACCCGAAGGCCUUCUUCACACACGCGGCAUGGCUGGAUCAGGGUUGCCCCCAUUGUCCAAUAUUCCCCACUGCUGCCUCCCGUAGGAGUCUGGGCCGUGUCUCAGUCCCAGUGUGGCUGAUCAUCCUCUCAGACCAGCUACGGAUCGUCGCCUUGGUGAGCCGUUACCUCACCAACCAGCUAAUCCGACAUAGGCUCAUCCGAUAGCGCGAGGCCCGAAGGUCCCCCGCUUUCCCCCGUAGGGCGUAUGCGGUAUUAGCCUGGGUUUCCCCAGGUUAUCCCCCACUACCGGGCAGAUUCCUAUGCAUUACUCACCCGUCCGCCGCUCGCCACCAGGGAGCAAGCUCCCCGUGCUGCCGCUCGACUUGCAUGUGUUAGGCCUGCCGCCAGCGUUCAUCUGAGCCAUGAUCAAACUCUGA
rnacentral:rRNA from 1 species